AUUGAACGCUGGCGGCAUGCUUUACACAUGCAAGUCGAACGGCGGCGCGGGCUUCGGCCUGGCGGCGAGUGGCGAACGGGUGAGUAAUGCAUCGGAACGUGCCCAGUAGUGGGGGAUAGUCCGGCGAAAGCCGGAUUAAUACCGCAUACGACCUGAGGGUGAAAGCGGGGGACCGAAAGGCCUCGCGCUAUUGGAGCGGCCGAUGUCGGAUUAGCUAGUUGGUGGGGUAAAGGCUUACCAAGGCGACGAUCCGUAGCUGGUCUGAGAGGACGACCAGCCACACGGGGACUGAGACACGGCCCAGGCUCCUGCGGGAGGCAGCAGUGGGGAAUUUUGGACAAUGGGGGCAACCCUGGUCCAGCCAUGCCGCGUGCGAGAAGAAGGCCUUCGGGUUGUAAACCGCUUUUGUUCGGGAAGAAAUCCUCUGAGCUAAUACCCCGGGGAGGUGACGGUACCGGAAGAAUAAGCACCGGCUAACUACGUG
rnacentral:rRNA from 1 species